GACUUAGUGGCGGACGGGUGAGUAAUGUAUGAGCAACCUGCCUUUCAGAGGGGGACAACAGUUGGAAACGACUGCCAAUACCGCAUAAUGUAUUUGGGUGGCAUCACCUGGAUACCAAAGGAGCAAUCCGCUGAAAGAUGGGCUCAUAUCUGAUUAGCUUGUUGGCGGGGUAACAGCCCACCAAGGCGACGAUCAGUAGCCGGACUGAGAGGUUGAACGGCCACAUUGGGACUGAGAUACGGCCCAGACUCCUACGGGAGGCAGCAGUGGGGAAUAUUGGGCAAUGGGCGAAAGCCUGACCCAGCAACGCCGCGUGAAGGAAGAAGGUCUUCGGAUUGUAAACUUCUUUUAUGAGGGACGAAGGACGUGACGGUACCUCAUGAAUAAGCCACGGCUAACUACGUGCCAGCAGCCGCGGUAAUACGUAGGUGGCGAGCGUUAUUCCGGAUUUACUGGGUGUAAAGGGCGCGUACGCGGCGA
rnacentral:rRNA from 1 species